AUUUAUAUAGUAUAAAAGUAUAUAU
rnacentral:tRNA from 3 species